rnacentral:siRNA from 1 species
AGGAUAAUAACACAGGACCGCACU